UGGGGAAUAUUGCACAAUGGGCGAAAGCCUGAUGCAGCGACGCCGCGUGAGGGAUGACGGCCUUCGGGUUGUAAACCUCUUUCAGCAGGGACGAAGCGCAAGUGACGGUACCUGCAGAAGAAGCACCGGCUAACUACGUGCCAGCAGCCGCGGUAAUACGUAGGGUGCAAGCGUUGUCCGGAAUUACUGGGCGUAAAGGGUUCGUAGGCGGUUUGUCGCGUCGUUUGUGAAAACCAGCAGCUCAACUGCUGGCUUGCAGGCGAUACGGGCAGACUUGAGUACUGCAGGGGAGACUGGAAUUCCUGGUGUAGCGGUGAAAUGCGCAGAUAUCAGGAGGAACACCGGUGGCGAAGGCGGGUCUCUGGGCAGUAACUGACGCUGAGGAACGAAAGCGUGGGUAGCGAACAGG
rnacentral:rRNA from 1 species